ACAUGCAGUCGAGCGGAGUUGUUUUGAAAGCUUGCUUUCAAAACAACUUAGCGGCGGACGGGUGAGUAACACGUAGGUAACCUGCCUGUAAGACUGGGAUAACUACCGGAAACGGUAGCUAAUACCGGAUAAUUUGUUUCUUCUCAUGAAGAGACACUGAAAGGCGGAGUAAUCUGCCACUUAUAGAUGGGCCUGCGGCGCAUUAGCUAGUUGGUGAGGUAACGGCUCACCAAGGCGACGAUGCGUAGCCGACCUGAGAGGGUGAACGGCCACACUGGGACUGAGACACGGCCCAGACUCCUACGGGAGGCAGCAGUAGGGAAUCUUCCGCAAUGGACGAAAGUCUGACGGAGCAAUGCCGCGUGAGUGAUGAAGGUUUUCGGAUCGUAAAGCUCUGUUGCCAGGGAAGAACGCUUGGGAGAGUAACUGCUCUCAAGGUGACGGUACCUG
rnacentral:rRNA from 2 species